rnacentral:rRNA from 1 species
CUACGGGCGGCAGCAGUGGGGAAUAUUGGACAAUGGGGGAAACCCUGAUCCAGCAAUGCCGCGUGUGUGAAGAAGGCCUGCGGGUUGUAAAGCACUUUCGGUUGGGAGGACUGCUUCUAGCACUAAUAUUGUUGGAAGUUGACGUUACCUUCAGAAGAAGCACCGGCUAACUCCGUGCCAGCAGCGCGCGGUAAUACGGAGGGUGCAAGCGUUAAUCGGAAUUACUGGGCGUAAAGCGCGCGUAGGCGGCUAGAUCAGUCGGGUGGGAAAGCCCCGGGCUUAACCUGGGAACUGCAUCCGAUACUGUCUAGCUUGAGUACAGGAGAGGAGAGUGGAAUUCCACAUGUAGCGGUGAAAUGCGUAGAUAUGUGGAGGAACACCAAUGGCGAAGGCAGCUCUCUGGCCUGAUACUGACGCUGAGGUGCGAAAGCGUGGGGAGCAAACAGGAUUAGAUACCCUAGUAGUC